CCAUCAUGAGUCUUGAAUGACAAAAUCAUGCCACUGCUGUCUCUACAACCUGCAAAACACAGCUACAGGUCCCAUGUUUUAGUUGGAUAACUAACAAACAGCUGUUUCUUUCCCCUUCUUAAUCAGGAAUCCAUUCCCUUUCACCAGGAGCACAGAGCAAAGUGGAAAACCAAACAAAUAAAGUUCCAUAGGCAAGAGUCCUAAAUGCUAAAUGUGAGAACAUCAGAAGACCUUAGAAGCAAAGAAACUAAGUGGAAAGGUGUCACUCUUUUUUCGAUCAGGAAAAGCAUGGCUUGUGAGUCAGCAGUGCAUUUUUCCACGUAUUGUUCACAGUUCUCCUCCAGCAUGGAUCUGCUAGACAAAUGUAGAUGUUGAUUUAUGAGCAAUAAUUUGAGAACAAGGAAAAAUAACACCAUAAAAAAGGUUUACGAAUUUCUUCACUCACAUGGGAAAGCUGAUGCAGGUCAUUUCCAGUGAGGUAUGUCCAGAG